rnacentral:rRNA from 1 species
AUUGAACGCUGGCGGAAUGCUUUACACAUGCAAGUCGAACGGCAGCACGGACUUCGGUCUGGUGGCGAGUGGCGAACGGGUGAGUAAUGUAUCGGAACGUGCCCAGUCGUGGGGGAUAACGUAGUGAAAAUUACGCUAAUACCGCAUACGAUCUAUGGAUGAAAGCGGGGGAUCGCAAGACCUCGCGCGAUUGGAGCGGCCGAUAUCAGAUUAGGUAGUUGGUGGGGUAAAGGCCCACCAAGCCAACGAUCUGUAGCUGGUCUGAGAGGACGACCAGCCACACUGGAACGGAGACACGGUCCAGACUCCUACGGGAGUCAGCAGUGGGGAAUUGUGGACAAUGGGCGAAAGCCUGAUCCAGCCAUUCCGCGUGCAGGAUGAAGGCCCUCGGGUUGUAAACUGCUUUUGUACAGAACGAAAAGGUUUCUACUAAUACUAGGAGCUCAUGACGGUACUGUAAGAAUAAGCACCGGCUAACUACGUGCCAGCCGCCGCAGUAA